CUCUUCUCUCUCAUGCGCUUUCUCACUCUCUUCUCUCUUUUCUCUCUGAUUCCGGCCGCCACCCGGCCACCGCCACCGCCACCGGAAAACCCCAAAUCAAACCCAAUUCAACUCACCCAAAAACCUCUUUCACGCAAAACUUCUUCCUCCUCUCAGAUGGGCCGAAAAUCAUCAACCCCAACCCCCAAAUUUCAAUUCCUCAAAUUUUGUUCUUUGAAAUUGUCGAUGAAAUUGGGUAUUUGGAUGUCAAUAAACUCAGGAUCUCUACAGAGAAGGAAAUUCUAUCAUGGGCUCUGAAGGUUCACAAAUUCGGGUUUGGUUUGAGAUUUUGUUGAUUUCGAAAGUUGGAUCCUUUACUGCUCGAAAAAGUCAGACAAACCGUGAAGGUGAAGGUGAAAACAUGGAGGCAGAAGAAGAUGCCCUGAUUGGAUUCUGGAGUGCAUUUGGUUGGUUGGAUGGAAUGACUGUUUUCAUUGCUUUGUUGUCUGAAUAUGUGGUGGAUACAAUUGAGGUUUUAAGAAGUGAUUGCGGUAAAGGUCGCGGUUGCGUUAUUACCUUUGCUAUUGCCGUCAUUGGAACCAAGAUCACCUUCUAUUAUUGUUUAAAUCUAAUACAGAACCCUGGAGGAAAGAAGAUGUAUAUGUAUCUUUAUGUUCAUGUGCCUGCAACAAUGAUCUCUUUGAGUUAGUUUGCGAUGACCGAACCUUCAGAGGUCGUUUACGUUUGAAACGUAGGGUACGAAAUAUCUGAGCAAACACAUCAUGAGGAUUUCAAUUUGCCUGAAGAAUCCUGCCAUGGUUUUCUUCCUGAACUGCUGCAUAUUUAGAAUGAUCAAAUGAAUCAUUGGCUUAUGUAGAGACAAAAAUAAUGUAUAGGAAAAAAAAAUCAGAGGUAGUAGAAGCAUACAAGAAAUAUGUAGCAGAUAUAAGUGAUUUGGGACUCAUCAUCAAAUCUAAAAGUAAGAAGACGUUGUUGCAUAAUGAAUCUCGGUUAGAUCUCUUAUUAGUAUUGUUAUUAUAUUAUACGCUGCAAUUGUUAUAUUAUUAGGCAGUUAAGGAAGUUGUGUUAUUUAGAUGGUUACUGAAUAAAUCGGAAAGGAGAGACCCAAUACUCUAAAAUGCACUUUCGUUUUUAUAGUGAAUGAGCAAACUAGCAUCACAGCAAGAUCUCAAGUCCAAAUAAGGUAUUGGAGUUGAGAGGAAACAUAAUGGUCUUAGAUUUUGAUUGGAUCUCCAAAGAAGACUUUGUCUUUUUAAUUUGGUUCUAUAUUGAAGUUAAAUGCUCAUUUUGAAAGAUUUUCAUUUACUUUCUUUACAACAGAUAUUUUUGAGGACACUGUACCAUUUGCAACAUUUGAAAGUAGACCAAAUUCCAAGUGUUGCAGCAUAAGCUGACAGGCGGCUAAGCAUGCACAUGCAUCAGUUGUGCAGUCACCACUAGAUGACGAUGCUUUAACACGAUGGCAGCGGGAUGUAGGCCAUGAUGAUGCAGGGCAGCAGGAUGCAGGCCAUCAAAAAGACUCACCUAAUGUUGCUGACUCCAAGUAUUCAUAUGGUGUGAUCAGCUUGAAGCAGUUGAAAGAAGUUUUGGUGCUUGCUAUGAAGCCUUAAGCAAUUUUCAAGUUGGAGAUAUGCAUUAGUUUUAUUGGAAUUUUGUCACUUUUGCCAAAGCACAGAUUGUGGUGGCUUUGCUGGUGUUGAGAAAAUGUGAGGAAUGGGAGAUGCUAUAGUUUUUUUUUUUUUUUUUUUUGCAUCAUGCUGGUGUAUUGACCAGUUUAUUGAUUUGGUUUUUAAGUUUAUUUACUCUUUCGGAUGUAUCGAUUAUACAAUGUACUUCUCUAUCCUAUUAUCAAUGAUUAUAUGAAUGAUUUUUAAUGUCAUCA